rnacentral:rRNA from 1 species
CCUACGGGCGACAGCAGUGGGGGAUAUUGCACAAUGGGGGAAACCCUGAUGCAGCGACGCCGCGUGGGUGAAGAAGGAUUUCGGGAUGGAAAGCCCUAUCAGCAGGGAAGAAGAAAUGACGGUACCUGAGUAAGAAGCACCGGCUAAAUACGUGCCAGCAGCCGCGGUAAUACGUAUGGUGCAAGCGUUAUCCGGAUUUACUGGGUGGAAAGGGAGCGCAGGCGGCACGGCAAGCCUGAUGUGAAAGCCCGCGGCCCAACCGCGGGACUGCAUUGGGAACUACCGGGCUGGAGUGCCGGAGAGGUAGGCGGAAUUCCUAGUGUAGCGGUGAAAUGCGUAGAUAUUAGGAGGAACACCAGUGGCGAAGGCGGCCUACUGGACGGUGACUGACGCUGAGGCUCGAAAGCGUGGGGAGCAAACAGGAUUAGAUACCCCGGUAGUC